rnacentral:rRNA from 1 species
AUUGAACGCUGGCGGCAUGCCUAACACAUGCAAGUCGAACGGCAGCACAGCAGUAGCAAUACUGUGGGUGGCGAGUGGCGGACGGGUGAGGAAUACAUAGGAAUCUACCCUGUCGUGGGGGAUAACGUAGGGAAACUUACGCUAAUACCGCAUACGACCGAGAGGUGAAAGUGGGGGACCGCAAGGCCUCACGCGAUUGGAUGAGCCUAUGUCCGAUUAGCUAGUUGGCGGGGUAAGAGCCCACCAAGGCGACGAUCGGUAGCUGGUCUGAGAGGAUGAUCAACCACACUGGAACUGAGACACGGUCCAGACUCCUACGGGAGGCAGCAGUGGGGAAUAUUGGACAAUGGGCGCAAGCCUGAUUCAGCAAUGCCGCGUGGGUGAAGAAGGCCUUCGGGUUGUAAAGCCCUUUUGUACGGGAAGAAAAGCUGUCGAUUAAUACUCGAUGGUCAUGACGGUACCGUAAGAAUAAGCACCGGCUAACUUCGUGCCAGCCGCCGCGGUAA